rnacentral:rRNA from 1 species
GACGAACGCUGGCGGCGUGCUUAACACAUGCAAGUCGAACGGUGAAGGGAUCAGCUUGCUGGUUCUGGAUGAGUGGCAAACGGGUGAGUAACACGUGAGUAACCUGCCCCCUUCUUCUGGAUAACCGCAUGAAAGUGUGGCUAAUACGGGAUAUUCUGGGUCUGUCGCAUGAUGGGUCUGGGAAAGAUAUUGUUUCGGUGGGGGAUGGGCUCGCGGCCUAUCAGCUUGUUGGUGGGGUGAUGGCCUACCAAGGCGGUGACGGGUAGCCGGCCUGAGAGGGUGGACGGUCACACUGGGACUGAGACACGGCCCAGACUCCUACGGGAGGCAGCAGUGGGGAAUAUUGCACAAUGGGCGCAAGCCUGAUGCAGCGACGCCGCGUGAGGGAUGGAGGCCUUCGGGUUGUAAACCUCUUUCGCCAGUGAAGCAGGCCUGCUCCUUGUGGGUGGGUUGACGGUAGCUGGAUAAGAAGCGCCGGCUAACUACGUG